AUGAAGGAAUAUCUACACUACCCGAAUUGAAUCAAAUACAAUUUGAAGGGUUUUCUAGAUUCAUUGAUCGGGGAUUAGCAUAAGAACUUUUAAAGUUUCCAAAAAUAGAAUAUACAGAUCAAGAAAUAGAAUUUUAGUUAUUUGUGGAAGAGCUAAAAGUCUAAUCUUGUGCCAGUAUACAAACCAAGGGAUAAUCUUAGUUAGACAGUUUCUAUGGGGCGUAGCCCUCCCAAAAGGUAACUGAGGCGUGCAAAGGUUUCCUCUGGCCAAACGGAGAUUGGCCCUCGAGUGCAAAGGCAAAAGGAGCUUGACUACAAGACCCACCCAUCAAGCAGGGACAAAAUUCAGCCUUAGUGAUCUAAUGGUGCCGAGUGGAAGGGUCGUCGCUCAACGGAUAAAAGUUACUCUAAGGAUAACACGUUGAUCUUUCCCAAGAGUUCACAUCGACGGCAAGGUUUGGCACCUCGAUGUCGGCGCUUCGCCACUUGGAGCUGUAGUAGGUUCCAAGCGCUGGAAUGUUUGCUCAUUAAAGCAGUAUGUGAGUUGGGUUGAGAACGUCGUGAAAUAGUUCGGUCCAUAUUUGGUGUAGGCGUUAGAGCAUUGAGAGGACCUUUUCCUAGUACGAGAGGACCGGGACGGACGCACCUCUGGUGUAUCAAUUAUCAUGCAAACGGUAAACAAUGGGUAGCCAAGUGUGGAUCGGAUAACUAUUGAAAGCAUCUAAGUAGUACGCCCACCCAAGAUUAGUGUUAUCCUAUUCCGACUUCCCCAGAGCCUCUGGUAUCACUGCAAAAGAUCCCAAAGCAUGCGAGGGUGGAACAAAAGAGGUUUUGAGAAUUCAAGAGAAGGUCACAGCGAGACAAGCCGUUUUUCAUUAACGACAUGUGUCAAGUGGAAGUGGAGUAAUGUAUGCAUGUGAGGCAUUCUAACAGACCGG
rnacentral:ncRNA from 1 species